rnacentral:tRNA from 1 species
CGCUGGCCGCUGCCCGCUGGCUGGGGCCCGCCGGCUGGGGCCCGCCGGCCGUCGGCUGCCGGCCGGGCGGUUCAGGCCGCCGGCCCCCGUC